UCACUUUGGCAGUACAUAUACCAAGCCUGGAACAAUACAGAGAAGCUUAACAUGGUCCUGCCCAAGGAUGACACACAAAUUUGUGAAGCUUUCCAUGUAUUU
ensembl:snRNA U6 U6 spliceosomal RNA